GAAGAAAGUCCGAGAUAUUAGACAAUGGAUAGGUUUGCUCGGGAUAGCUUUGAAAGUUGCCGACGUGAAAUAUAAAUGAGAUUACGUCAUAUGUUUAUGAUAAUUUGCUUUUUCUCUGUGUGUCGAGUUUCCCGACGUUGUGAAAAAAAAAUUUGCUUUGGUUAACCUACGAAUAUAAAAAAAAAGCUUAAUUUCGAAAGCUAUCGUUUCAAAAACCGACAAAUAUAUUUAAUUUAUUAUCGAAUUCGAUAGAGAAAGAGAAAACAUGAGUGACAUAUUUCAGUUACGAUUUACAUUCUACAAGACGAUAAUACCUAUCGCGUAUGGUGGUAAAGUGAGAAAAAUAACAAAAGAAUUAAAAAGAAGCAUUUUAUUUUAUCUCUGAUCGUGAGACAUUGAAGAUAGUUGUUCAUUAAAAAUAAGAAAACGUGGAGGCUGUCCGUUGCCUCGAACGAUCAGAAAAAUGAUGUCAGCGAUAAGUCAGAUUAAUCGGACAUUAAAGGAGGAAAUCUUCGAAGUCAAAUCAAUCAAGCGGAAAUAGUCAAGAUUAAACUAUUUCUAUACAUAAGCGGCAUAGAACGUCGUCAUCGAUGCAUCCGCCAUACUAAGUUAUUACCAUAAACAACGAUUCUUGCGGUGAAGCUGUUGGCAAUCAUCAUGGUAACGUGGGCGACAGGAAAGAAAUAAAAGGUACGAACCGACGAGAAGAUUUCAUCGAUAAUAAUUCCACGAAAUCGUGACUUACAAUUUAAAUAUUUUUAACGAUGUUACAUUAAUUUUUAUAUAUAAUAUGAUAAGAAAAAGAUAACAAAUAAUAAAUCAAAAACAAACUGCCUUAUCUUAUUUCAUUCCAUAAUAAUAAAAGAAAAAAGUGUUUCGAUAUAAUUUUUAAUCAGUUUGAGACAACACAAAAAUUCAUUUUAAACACGUUCGAAUAAGCGUCCUUGAUUUUGAAUCGUAAGCGUCACAAGGAUCAUGCCUUGAUUGUAUGCAAGACGUAAAUGGAUGCGUCCCUGCAUAUAGAAGUACGACUUCCGUGAAUGCACUGACCAGGCAGACUGUGCCCGCGCUUUUUCGAUAGGUUCUUUAAGCGCACCUGCGUUUACGCGACAAAAUAUUUUCACGAAAAGAAAAAAAAA